UACGUAGGGCGCGAGCGUUAAUCGGAAUCACUGGGCGUAAAGCGCACGUAGGCGGACUCUUAAGUCGGUGGUGAAAUCCUGGAGCUCAACUCCAGAACUGCCUUCGAUACUGGGAGUCUCGAGUCCGGGAGAGGUGAGUGGAACUGCGAGUGUAGAGGUGAAAUUCGUAGAUAUUCGCAAGAACACCAGUGGCGAAGGCGGCUCACUGGCCCGGUACUGACGCUGAGGUGCGAAAGCGUGGGGAGCAAACAGG
rnacentral:rRNA from 1 species